CCCCCUGUAGCUCAGCUGGCUAGAGCGCCGGAUUGUGGUUCCGGAGGUCAGUGGUUCGAGCCCACUCGGGGGGACAA
rnacentral:tRNA from 1 species